rnacentral:lncRNA from 1 species
GGUUCCUUAUCACAUGGCCACGAAAAAUUAGGCUCACAGACAAUUUGAAGCGAGAGGAGGGCAGGGUUUAUUGGGUGAAAUGGAAGAAAAGGGGAAACAGAGACUCUUAGCAAAGCGAGAGAGUGUGCUUCCUGCCACUGGGCUUCCCGCCUCACAGAUUGAAUCCCAGGUUCCACCCAGGAAGAGGAGGGGCCAAGCUCCUCCCGCUGCAAACGCGCGAACUUCUGUGGCUCGAUCCCAGUGCGCACUCCUCCCAGUGCACUGGCCGGUUGGAGUUUUGCCAGGGAGGCCUUCCCACCUGCCUGUCUCAAUGGAAAGAAUAUGUGGAUUUGGAUUCAGGGACACCUUUAUCACCUAUGUGACUUUAGGAGUCAAUGAAGCAAGUUCAUGAGACUCUGAGGCAAGGACACCAAACCAGGGGUUUUAGCUCCUACCCAUGGUACUGGCUAAUAUAUCUGACCACACUGGCUCUGCAAGACCAUGGCUGAAGACUGCUUAAAUGUUGUCCCUGAGUCAAUAUCUUAACAUUUAUUGCAUCUUUUAUUUUCUUAACAAAAAUGAAGGCAUUUGUGACUGUGUUGUUUUCCAUCAAAAAUUGGGAAUCAUGCCCUUUCAUACAACACAGUUGUGGUCCAUCUUUUCUUCUGGGGUAGUAGAAAGAUCAAGAUCAUCAGAGAACGUAGGGUGCAAUAUCAGCUCUCCAGUACCAAACACGGUUCAUUAACCUCUCGGAACCUCAGGUGUCUUGGGGCAUAGUUCAUGUCUCCUGGCCCAUCUCACAGGAUUAUCAGGAGGACGAAUGAGAUAAUUCUCAGGCUAAAGAAAAUAUCACCUAAUGCUUCUGAUAUACAGAAUUGUGUGCUGCAAAUGGUUGAAAAGAUUUUAGUUUCAACACCUAAUUCCCAUCAUUCUGUGGCAAAAUAUAUCUUGAGUUCUGAUGGGCGCCAGAACAACAUCUGAAGAUUGAAUGAAACUUCUAAAGUGAUAACAAGGCCCGUCCUGUACUUCACAGAAGACUUCUGAGGGUCAAAGAGAAGAUUUAUAGUUCUGGAGGUCAGAAGUCCAAGCUGAGUUUCACUGGCCCAAAUUCAAGAGUACCAGGCCAGAUUUCCAAAUGGGACAACAGGUGGAACUCUCAUUUUGCUCAUGUUCA